rnacentral:lncRNA from 12 species
CCCCCCCCCCCCCCCCCCCCCCCCCCCCCCCCCCCCCCCCCCCCCCCCCCCCCCCCGAGAAGAGGAGGAUGCCGAGGGGGGGAGGAUGCCGAGGGGAGGGGCAUCCCAGCCCCCGGGAAGGCUCGGGGAUGGGCCAUGGCCGUACAGCGGCCGCCCGCAGUCUGUGUGCCCGGCGCUGCCGGGUCAUGGCCAGCUCGGGGCUUUUCCGCAGCCGCCGGGUUUUGCUGGGGAAAAGGCCGAGCUCAGGGUCCCUGGGUGCCCGCGGGGAUAGCAGUCCCUGCCUGGCCUCAGCUGCGCUGCCCUUGUGCCUGUAUUGCUGUUCCCGGUGCCGUCACGGUGAUCCAUGUAUGGUGAGGAGGUUGCUCCAGGAAGUGUGGAUGGUUUUUGAAGGCUGUGGUUUCAAGGGGCUGAUUUUUCAUCCUGAAAAGGGGAUGUAGGAUGUCCAUGGUGCAGUGUGGCUCUGAGAUCUGUGACUCCUCUGCAUGCCCUGGUGUCACUCACAAUACUUCUGUCACAUCUCCUGAAGACUGUCACAAUAUUCCUACUUUUGCUGCUGCCCCCUCAUCAAGCAGUGGCCCUCCUUAUGGUCUUGGAGAUGCCAUAGAAGCAGAAGAUGAAAGACCAAAAAUGAGAUAGGUGUUUUGGGAGAAGUUCUUUGAUAUUUCUGAGCCCCAUACAACUGCAGAUCCUGAGGAGCAGCUGUGUCAGGGAUGCCCUGAGAUGAGGCUGACAGAAAUAAAGGCCAACAGCAACAGAGAGGAAUACCAAGAAGGAGCAAGAGUGAUAUUGGAAAUUCUCUUGCCCCUGCUAGGAAGGUCUGACUGUUGACUGAAAUGUUUUAUUCUGUAGUUUCUCGGUCUUUCUUUCUUCAGCCAACAACAAAAGUUAGCAUGGUGUCCUGGUUUUGGCUGGGAUAGAGUUAGUUUUCUGCCUGGCAGCUGGACAGCUAAUGAAGAGCUGAUGGAGUGAAUAAUAAGUGAUGAGAAAUAAACCCAAUUUUUUUGAAAAGCCCCUGAGUCAACAUACUGGAAGCUGUAGGUAGAUAUGUUGCCCAAAUGUCUUCACCCAGAUGCAGCUGCUUUGUCCCUUCCAGUCUAGUCAAGAUAGAUCAGAAAACAUCAAAUAUUCUAAUUUUGGGUUUAGCAUAAGGAUAAUAUUCCAACAUCAGUGUGUUAAGCUGUGCUUACCCUAAGUCAAGGAGUUUGCAGUUUCCUGUGCUCUGCUAGCGAGCAGGUGCACAAAGGAAGCUGGGAGGGAGCAGGGCCAGGAGAGGUGACCAGAAAUGGCCAAAGGGACAUUCUGUGCACUCGAUGUCAUGCUCACUUUAUAAAGGAUGGGAGCUGGCAGGAGCCAUGGAUUUGUUGCUAAGGGAUGGGCUGCACAUCAGUCAGUAGGUGCUGAGCAAUCCUAUUGUGUGUCAGUUGUUUCUCCUGGGUCGUACUUCUCUCUC